rnacentral:rRNA from 1 species
GACGAACGCUGGCGGCGUGCUUAACACAUGCAAGUCGAACGGAAAGGCCCUGCUUUUGUGGGGUGCUCGAGUGGCGAACGGGUGAGUAACACGUGAGUAACCUGCCCUUGACUUUGGGAUAACUUCAGGAAACUGGGGCUAAUACCGGAUAGGAGCUCCUGCUGCAUGGUGGGGGUUGGAAAGUUUCGGCGGGUGGGGAUGGACUCGCGGCUUAUCAGCUUGUUGGUGGGGUAGUGGCUUACCAAGGCGUUGACGGGUCGCCGGCCUGGGAGGGUGACCGGCCACAUUGGGACUGCGGUACGGCCCAGACUCCUACGGGAGGCAGCAGUGGGGAAUAUUGCCCAGUGAGCGGAAGCCUGAUGCAGCAACGCCGCGUGCGGGAUGACGGCCUUCGGGUUGUAAACCGCUUUCGCCUGUGACGAAGCGUGAGUGACGGUAAUGAGUAAAGAAGCACCGGCUAACUACGUG